UACGAAGGGGGCUAGCGUUGCUCGGAAUCACUGGGCGUAAAGGGUGCGUAGGCGGGUCUUUAAGUCAGGGGUGAAAUCCUGGAGCUCAACUCCAGAACUGCCUUUGAUACUGAGGAUCUUGAGUUCGGGAGAGGUGAGUGGAACUGCGAGUGUAGAGGUGAAAUUCGUAGAUAUCAGGAAGAACACCAAUGGCGAAGGCAGCUCUCUGGGACGGUACUGACGCUGAGACGCGAAAGCGUGGGGAGCGAACAGG
rnacentral:rRNA from 1 species